rnacentral:rRNA from 1 species
UGCCAGCAGCCGCGGUAAUACGGAGGGGGUUAGCGUUGUUCGGAAUUACUGGGCGUAAAGCGCACGUAGGCGGAUUAGUAAGUUAGGGGUGAAAUCCCGAGGCUCAACCUCGGAACUGCCUCUAAUACUGGCAAUCUUGAGUUCGAGAGAGGUGAGUGGAACUCCUAGUGUAGAGGUGAAAUUCGUAGAUAUUAGGAAGAACACCAGUGGCGAAGGCGGCUCACUGGCUCGAUACUGACGCUGAGGUGCGAAAGCGUGGGGAGCAAACAGGAUUAGAUA